GACGAACGCUGGCGGCGUGCUUAACACAUGCAAGUCGAACGGAAAGGCCCUGCUUUUGUGGGGUGCUCGAGUGGCGAACGGGUGAGUAACACGUGAGUAACCUGCCCUUGACUUUGGGAUAACUUCAGGAAACUGGGGCUAAUACCGGAUAGGAGCUCCUGCUGCAUGGUGGGGGUUGGAAAGUUUCGGCGGUUGGGGAUGGACUCGCGGCUUAUCAGCUUGUUGGUGGGGUAGUGGCUUACCAAGGCUUUGACGGGUAGCCGGCCUGAGAGGGUGACCGGCCUCAUUGGGACUGAGAUACGGCCCAGACUCGUACGGGAGGCAGCAGUGGAGAAUAUUGCACAAUGGGCGGAAGCCUGAUGCAGCAACGCCGCGUGCGGGAUGACGGCCUUCGGGUUGUAAACCGCUUUCGCCUGUGACGAAGCGUGAGUGACGGUAAUGGGUAAAGAAGCACCGGCUAACUACGUG
rnacentral:rRNA from 1 species